ACUUCCCUCAGUGUUGCAGGUAGGAGCUGCGUACAUGUCGUUGUUGCCUCACCCUGAAUUAGCAGUACUUGUGUUGAUUGUGGUGUUCGUGUUACAGAGAUCACCUGCGGAUUACCUUCCUGAAGCCUCCAUCGUGGCUGGUCAUAGCUGUAGAAGCCUCCUAUGAGCCACUCUGUUCAUGACUCGAGUGGCACCGUUUAAUUGGAAGUGUGGACCUUAGUGGGCGGCCAGUAGCUUUACAGCAGGGUCGCUACGGCUUUUCUACACACUCUAA